GAGACCCGAGUUAAGUUAUUCUGUUAAAUUUAAUUAACUGUUAUUUUAAUAAAGUUAAAAAAUAACUUUAUUUUUUAGGUAAAAUUUAUAUAAUAAAAUACAAAAUCUUUAUAAAAAUUAGGGAUUUAAUAAAUUUAGAUUGAGAAACCAGGAUUAGAUACCCUGUUAUUUCUAAAUUAGUUUAUCAAGGGUAGUAAAAGUUAUUCUUCAAACCCAAAGGUUUUGGCGGCAUUCUAACCAAACAGAGGAGCUUGUCCUUUAAUCGAUAAUCCUCGUUUUAUCUUACCUUUCUUUGUGAAGCUUGUAUACCUCCGUUGUCAGAUUACUUUAGAAGAAUGUUUUCAAUAAAAAUAAUUUUUUUACUUCAGGUCAAGGUGCAGUUUAUGGGAUGGUAGUGAUGAGCUACAAUUUAAUUUAAAAAAACAGAUAGAAGUUUUAAUACUUUUGGAAGGUGGAUUUGUUAGUAAAAUUGUUUAAGAAUAACCUUUUGAAGAAGGUAAAAGAAUGUGUACAUAUCGCCCGUCA
rnacentral:rRNA from 1 species